GAUGAGCGCUGGCGGCGUGCCUAAUACAUGCAAGUCGAGCGAACAGACGAGGCGCUUGCCUCUCUUCAGUUAGCGGCGGACGGGUGAGUAAUACGUGGAUAACCUACCUUUAAGGCUGGGGUCACUUCGGGGAACCGGAGCCCACACCCGAUAAUAUAUUGAACCUCAUGGUUCUACAGUCCACGCCCGUUUUGCUGUUCCUUAUUAGUGGUACCGCGCCGGAUUAGCUAGUUGGUAAGGUAACGGCUUACCAAGGCAACGAUGCGUAGCCGACCUGAGAGGGUGAUCGGCCACACUGGAACUGAGACACGGUCCAGACUCCUACGGGAGGCAGCAGUAGGGAAUCUUCCGCAAUGGGCGAAAGCCUGACGGAGCAACGCCGCGUGAGUGAUGAAGGUCUUCGGAUCGUAAAACUCUGUUAGUAGGGAAGAACAAAUGUGUAAGUAACUAUGCACGUCUUGACGGUACCUAAUCAGAAAGCCACGGCUAACUACGUG
rnacentral:rRNA from 1 species